rnacentral:misc_RNA from 1 species
AACCCUCAAACUCAAGUUUAGUUCUAACUGAACCGAACUUGAGUUUGGAUUUGGACGUUUGCCGGUGAUGAACCGACUCGUCUUAAAAGUAUUAGCUGGAUCUGUCUAUAUGACUGGUUUGACUUGGCAUAAUAAGUAUUUUGCUGAGGACAUCUUCGGAUGGCCAGGACCUAGACUAUUGUCUGCUAACUAAACCUUCACUUUGAGUGCAUCUUCUGGAUGUUACUCAUUGUGUUACUUUGAC